rnacentral:lncRNA from 1 species
CUAUUGGGUCAUGACAUAGCAGGAAAACCUGAGGAAACGGCCCAUUUCACCAGGAUAAACAAGUCCACAUGUUGGGUUGUUUUCAUACCGACUGAGGAGCUACAAGAUGCCGCUAAGCAUCUCUGCUGCUGAGGCUUCACACCAGAUCCAGGAGGAACUUGCUGUGGAGAGUAAGGAGGACAACCACUCCUCGGAUGAAAAUGGUGAAGACAGUGAGGACACUUUGAGCUUCGUUUAGACCCCGCUGAGGAUAUUUGUGAUGACAGGUCAUGCCACUCAUCCCCCUGCAAAAACAGGCCUCAGUUCAGACUGCCCACAGAGAAAUACAGUAUCUCACCAGCCCCUCCUACCUCCCCUAAUCACACACACAUUUCAAUUUCUACCAGGAGCUUUACAGAAGUUUUUCAGAGCAGCUGUCUCUCCUCCUCAACAAACGCAAGUUUCAUAACCGCAUUCAAAACGUUCGAUCUACGUCUGCAAAUAUCAUCCGUCUCAGAGAAAAUCUGUGAGUACAGUAUAGGUACCCUUUUUUUGUUUUAUGAAUUAAACAUUUUUAAAUUAUGUUAAACAACAUUAUUUGAAAUGAUUUACUUUGUCAAUUUACAGCAGU